rnacentral:rRNA from 1 species
ACACCAAUCGAGGGGUACCCGGCAGAAGAAGCCCCGGCUAAAUACGUGCCACAGCCGCGGUAAUACGUAUGGGGCGAGCGUUAUCCGGAUUCAUUGGGCGUAAGCGCGCGAGGCGGAGCGCUAAGCGGGACCUCUAACCCGAGGGCUCAACCCCCGGCCGGGUCCCGAACUGGCGCUCUCGAGUGCGGUAGGGGAGAGCGGAAUUCCCGGUGUAGCGGUGGAAUGCGCAGAUAUCGGGAAGAACACCGACGGCGAAGGCAGCUCUCUGGGCCGGAAACUGACGCUGAGGCGCGAAAGCUCGGGGGAGCGAACAGGAUUAGAUAGCCCUGGGUACGUCCCAGCCGUAAACGAUGGGCGCUAGGUGUCGGGGGGGGGAAGACCCCCCGUGCCGCAGCCAACGCAUUAAGCGCCCCGCCUGGGGAGUACGGCCGCAAGGCUAAAACUCAAAGGAAUUGACGGGGGCCCGCACAAGCAGCGGAGCAUGUGGCUUAAUUCGAAGCAACGCGAAGAACCUUACCAGGGCUUGACAUGCGGGUGAAGCGGCGGAGACGCCGUGGCCGAGAGGAGCCCGCACAGGUGGUGCAUGGCUGUCGUCAGCUCGUGUCGUGAGAUGUUGGGUUUAAGUCCCGCAACGAGCGCAACCCCUGCCCCGUGUUGCCAGCAUUCAGUUGGGGACUCGCAGGGGGACUGCCGGCGUCAAGCCGGAGGAAGGUGGGGACGACGUCAAGUCAUCAUGCCCCUUAUGCCCUGGGCCGCACACGUGCUACAAUGGCCGGUACAGAGGGUUGCGACCCCGCGAGGGGGAGCGGAUCCCGCAAAGCCGGCCCCAGUUCGGAUCGGAGGCUGCAACCCGCCUCCGUGAAGCCGGAGUUGCUAGUAAUCGCGGAUCAGCACGCCGCGGUGAAUACGUUCCCGGGCCUUGUACACACCGCCCGUCACACCACCCGAGUCGUCUGCACCCGAAGCCGCCGGCCGAACCCUUAUCGGGGCGGAGGCGUCGAAGGUGUGGAGGGUGAGGGGGGUGAAGUCGUAACAAGGUAGCCGUACCGGAAGGUGCGGCUG